GCACUGGGUUUGCUUUUAAUCAUCUGCAACAAAACGCAUUUUGAACCUCAAAUGUCGCCCAGAGAACAUCAAGACAAACGUAACAAGUCUGAGAAGCUUGUUACAGAAAGAAUGAUUUGGCGUCAUUAUCAAAUAAAGCAAGAAGUGAAACUGAGUGGAACCAGGAUGGAGCUAAAGUGUUCUCUCCAGCUCCAUCACACUUCUGCUGACAUCCUCAACUAGGACUCACCUGAGGACCUGUAAAACAAGUGACCAAAACCUCAAUCUGACUGAAAGCAUUUAGGUUCUGGGUGAGAUGAUACAGGUCUGACCUUCUCAACCUGACACCAGUGAGACACCAGCGGUCAAUUAACACCUAAUUGAAGACCUCAAUCCACUACUGCCCAAUUAUUGCCUUCCUGGCAGGCUUAGCAAUUCAAGAUGUCUGAUCCUCGGCAUCUGAUUCAAUAUGUUUAGGCAAUGAUCACAUUCAACUAUCAAGAAUAGAAGCUGGAGAAACCUAGAAGUCGAGUUCCUAUACCCAGAACUUUGAUUUGCUUUAUUAAACAUUGGU